AGUCUUGUGGUGUACUACACAUUGGAUUGCAAAUCCAAAGAAGCAGGCUGAUCUCCUGCCGGGGCUU
rnacentral:tRNA from 1 species